UACGAAGGGGGCAAGCGUUGCUCGGAAUCACUGGGCGUAAAGGGCGCGUAGGCGGACGUUUAAGUCGGGGGUGAAAUCCCGAGGCUCAACCUCGGAAUUGCCUUUGAUACUGGAUGUCUCGAGACCGGAAGAGGUGAGUGGAACUGCGAGUGUAGAGGUGAAAUUCGUAGAUAUUCGCAAGAACACCAGUGGCGAAGGCGGCUCACUGGUCCGGUUCUGACGCUGAGGCGCGAAAGCGUGGGGAGCAAACAGG
rnacentral:rRNA from 1 species